AGGUGAUUCAUUUGGUAAAUUCCAUAAGGUCUGCCCUGCCCUGGAAUGGCUUCUCAGCAAGGCUGUCUCAGCUAGGCUGGGAAGGAGGUGGCUUUCAGUUCCGGUUUCCAAUCAGUGACUUCCAAGAACUGGUUAAGAAGCAGGAAGAAUAGAAAGAGUUAGAUGGUUUCUGUGUUGGGCUAAAAAAAAAACCUCUCAGAUACCCAGUUCCUACAAUGCAUGUCUCCUGGCAGCCAGACAAGGAAGGAGAGAAACUGUGAAGGGUGCCAGGGUGCCAACAAGAGCACUCGUGUUCUUGGCAGAGCUCAGAAUAGCGUUCACAGCUCUCAGUGAUUCAUCAUCUGCAGGCCUGCCCACCCGUGAUCCAAGUGACUGAGGACGGGAGAUGAGAAAAUCAAGGCCCAGAAAGAAGGUGACUGACUAUUGGUCUCAGCAACACUGACAGUGAACAAAUCAAACAAGAAGGCAGGCACGGUGGCUGAUGCCUGUAAUCCUGUCAUUUUGGGAGAUGGAGGCGGGUGGAUCACUUAAGCCCAGGAGUUCAAGACAAGCCUGGGGAACAUGGCAAAGCCCUGUCUCUACAAAAAAUACAAAAACUAGCCAGGUGUGGUGGCACGCAUCUGUAGUCCCAGCUACUGGGAAGGCUGAGAGGUGGGAGGAUCACUUGAGCCCUGGAGGUUGAGGCUGCAGUGAGCCAUGAUUGCACCACUGCCCUCCAGCCUGGGCGACAGAGUGAGACCUUGUCUCAAAAAUAUUUUAAAAAUUAAACAAACAAGAGGGCUUAAGUGUCACAACCAUCAAUGGGGAAAGUGUCCGUGCAUAAUUUAUUUCUGGAAGCCCUGAGAAGAACAAGCAUCAACAGCUUUCUGAGAGACUUAUAACUUUUAGCUGAGGGAAUCUCAAUAUUUAACCAAAUAACACUUGAAGAAAAGCAGAAAUCAUCGAGACAGCAGCUCCUGGGAACUAGGUUUUAUGAUGUGUUCUAAAGACAUAAGCGAGAAGCCUGCUGUCACUUGUUAGCUGUGUGCUGAAGUGCAGUUUGGGGUGUCUUUAGGGCAGGUAAUAAAUUCCUUUCAGAGAUUGAAAUCACAUACCAACGUGAAUCUUCCACAUCCCUGAAAACUACUUAGGCAAGAUGCCUCACAUGACACGGAACUCUCGAUUUGGCAACACAUGUUGGGGUUCAGCCCCCCACAAUCCUGGCACAGUGUGGGUGCUCGCUAAAUAUUUAUUUGGAUAAAAUGGGCUUUCCUUAACUUUACAGUUUUCUGGGGAUAGAAGACUCAGGAAACAUGAGAGAGCAGUAUAAAAUGUGUAAGUACACAGUGGAAGGCUGGGGUUCCUAGUGAGGAUUUUAGAAUCUCACAAACGAAAGCAGCCAGACACAAAAAAAUACGUGCAAUAUGAUUCCAUGUACAUGAAGAACAAAUGUGGAUCAAAUUAACUUAUGCCAUUAGAAGCGAGAAUAUUGGUUACCUUUGGGGACCAGGGUUGGGGGUGAGUGUCUGGGAAAGAGAACUUCUAGGGUGCUAUUAACCCUAGCCCUAUUCUAUUUCUUAAUCGGGGGGCUGGGUGCCUCUAUGGAUUCACUUUGUGAUAAUUUAUCAAAUGGUUCUGUAUGUGUGCUCUAUUUUAAUAAAAACAUUUAUUUAAAAAUACACACACAAUGAAAGAUGUAGGCCAGUCCUUCCCAACCUUGAACGUGGGUACAGGUCACUUGGGAUCUUACUAAAAUGCAAAAUUCAGGCCAGGUGCAAUGGCUCAUGCCUGUAAAUCCAGCACUUUGGGGGGCUGAGGCAGGAGGGUCACUUGAGCCCAGGAGUUUGAGACCAGCCUGGGCAAGACAGGGGGAUCCUGUCUCCUCUACAAAAAAAUAAAAAAUUAACUGGGCGUGGUGACACAUGCCUGUAGUCCCAGCUACUCAGGAG
rnacentral:lncRNA from 10 species